CCUACGGGAGGCAGCAGUGGGGAAUAUUGGACAAUGGGCGAAAGCCUGAUCCAGCAAUGCCGCGUGAGUGAUGAAGGCCUUCGGGUCGUAAAGCUCUUUUACCAGGGAUGAUAAUGACAGUACCUGGAGAAUAAGCUCCGGCUAACUCCGUGCCAGCAGCCGCGGUAAUACGGAGGGAGCUAGCGUUGUUCGGAAUUACUGGGCGUAAAGAGUACGUAGGCGGUUAUUCAAGUCAGAGGUGAAAGCCCGGGGCUCAACCCCGGAACUGCCUUUGAAACUAGAUAACUAGAGUCUUGGAGAGGUUAGUGGAAUUCCGAGUGUAGAGGUGAAAUUCGUAGAUAUUCGGAAGAACACCAGUGGCGAAGGCGACUAACUGGACAAGUACUGACGCUGAGGUACGAAAGCGUGGGGAGCAAACAGGAUUAGAUACCCUGGUAGUCCACGCCGUAAACGAUGAUAACUAGUUGUUCGGUCACUUGGUGACUGAGUGACGCAGCUAACGCAUUAAGUUAUCCGCCUGGGGAUACGGUCGCAAGNUUAAAACCGUGAAAGAUUGACGGNUGAAGAGUGCGAGCGACGACGAGGGAGAGG
rnacentral:rRNA from 1 species